GGGCCCGCACAAGUAGUGGAGCAUGUGGUUUAAUUCGAAGAUACGCGCAGAACCUUACCAACACUUGACAUGUUCGUCGCGACUCUAAGAGAUUAGAGUUUUCGGUUCGGCCGGACGAAACACAGGUGCUGCAUGGCUGUCGUCAGCUCGUGUCGUGAGAUGUUGGGUUAAGUCCCGCAACGAGCGCAACCCUCACUUUUAGUUGCCAUCAUUAAGUUGGGCACUCUGAAAGAACUGCCAGUGAUAAGCUGGAGGAAGGUGGGGAUGACGUCAAGUCCUCAUGGCCCUUACGUGUUGGGCUACACACGUGCUACAAUGGUAUCUACAACAGGAAGCAAGACUGCGAAGUUAAGCAAAUCCUAAAAAGAUGCCUCAGUUCGGAUUGUACUCUGCAACUCGAGUACAUGAAGCUGGAAUU
rnacentral:rRNA from 1 species